rnacentral:rRNA from 1 species
CCUACGGGAGGCUGCAGUGGGGAAUAUUGGACAAUGGGCGAAAGCCUGAUCCAGCCAUGCCGCGUGUGUGAAGAAGGCCUUCGGGUUGUAAAGCACUUUCAGUGGGGAAGAAAGCCUUGGGGCUAAUACCCUCGAGGAAGGACAUCACCCACAGAAGAAGCACCGGCUAACUCCGUGCCAGCAGCCGCGGUAAUACGGAGGGUGCGAGCGUUAAUCGGAAUUACUGGGCGUAAAGCGCGCGUAGGCGGUCUGAUAAGCCGGUUGUGAAAGCCCCGGGCUCAACCUGGGAACGGCAUCCGGAACUGUCAGGCUAGAGUGCAGGAGAGGAAGGUAGAAUUCCCGGUGUAGCGGUGAAAUGCGUAGAGAUCGGGAGGAAUACCAGUGGCGAAGGCGGCCUUCUGGACUGACACUGACGCUGAGGUGCGAAAGCGUGGGUAGCAAACAGGAUUAGAUACCUAGUAGUC